rnacentral:rRNA from 1 species
AUUGAACGCUGGCGGCAUGCUUUACACAUGCAAGUCGAACGGUAACAGGCCGCAAGGUGCUGACGAGUGGCGAACGGGUGAGUAAUGCAUCGGAACGUGCCCAGUCGUGGGGGAUAACUACUCGAAAGAGUAGCUAAUACCGCAUACGAUCUAUGGAUGAAAGCGGGGGACCGUAAGGCCUCGCGCGAUUGGAACGGCCGAUGUCAGAUUAGGUAGUUGGUGGGGUAAAGGCUCACCAAGCCAACGAUCUGUAGCUAGUCUGAGAGGACGACCAGCCACACUGGGACUGAGACACGGCCCAGACUCCUACGGGAGGCAGCAGUGGGGAAUUUUGGACAAUGGGCGCAAGCCUGAUCCAGCAAUGCCGCGUGCAGGAAGAAGGCCUUCGGGUUGUAAACUGCUUUUGUACGGAACGAAACGGCUCUGGUUAAUACCCGGGGCUAAUGACGGUACCGUAAGAAUAAGCACCGGCUAACUACGUG